rnacentral:ncRNA from 1 species
CUCUAAUAUUAUUUCAGAUUAUACAUUUUACGGAAUGUAUACAGUAAAAUGUUAGAUAUUAAAGAGGUUUAUUCCUUCCUAAUUUAGGUAAAUAUGAAUCAGUAAAUUAUGUGCUAGUAGGCAUAGAAAAAA